rnacentral:rRNA from 1 species
AUUGAACGCUGGCGGCAGGCCUAACACAUGCAAGUCGAGCGAGCGGCGGACGGGUGAGUAAUACGUGGGAAACUGCCUGAUGGGGGGGGAUUACUUUUGGAAACGGUAGCUAAUUACCCAUUCCAUCGGCUGUUCCAAGUUGGGAGUAGCUAGUUGGUCGGGUAACGGCUCACCUAGGCGACGAUCCCUAGCUGGCCUGAGAGGAUGACCAGCCACACUGGAACUGAGACACGGUCCAGACUCCUACGGGAGGCAGCAGUGGGGAAUCUUGCACAAUGGGCGCAAGCCUGAUGCAGCCAUGCCGCGUGUGUGAAGAAGGCCUUCGGGUUGUAAAGCACUUUCAGCAGGGAGGCGUUACCCGCAGAAGAAGCACCGGCUAACUCCGUGCCAGCAGCCGCGGUAAUUC